GAUGAACGCUGGCGGCGUGCCUAAUACAUGCAAGUCGAGCGAACGGACGAGAAGCUUGCUUCUCUGAUGUUAGCGGCGGACGGGUGAGUAACACGUGGAUAACCUACCUAUAAGACUGGGAUAACUUCGGGAAACCGGAGCUAAUACCGGAUAAUAUUUUGAACCGCAUGGUUCAAAAGUGAAAGACGGUCUUGCUGUCACUUAUAGAUGGAUCCGCGCUGCAUUAGCUAGUUGGUAAGGUAACGGCUUACCAAGGCAACGAUGCAUAGCCGACCUGAGAGGGUGAUCGGCCACACUGGAGCUGAGACACGGUCCAGACUCCUACGGGAGGCAGCAGUAGGGAAUCUUCCGCAAUGGGCGAAAGCCUGACGGAGCAACGCCGCGUGAGUGAUGAAGGUCUUCGGAUCGGAAAACUCUGUUAUUAGGGAAGAACAUAUGUGUAAGUAACUGUGCACAUCUUGACGGUACCUAAUCAGAAAGCCACGGCUAACUACGUG
rnacentral:rRNA from 1 species